CCUACGGGAGGCUGCAGUGGGGGAUAUUGCACAAUGGGGGAAACCCUGAUGCAGCGACGCCGCGUGGGUGAAGAAGUAUUUCGGUAUGUAAAGCCCUAUCAGCAGGGAAGAAAGAAGACGGUACCUGACUAAGAAGCCCCGGCUAACUACGUGCCAGCAGCCGCGGUCAUACGUAGGGGGCGAGCGUGAUCCGGAUUCACUGGGUGUAAAGGGAGCGUAGACGGCCGUGCAAGCCAGGAGUGAAAGCCCGGGGCCCACCCCCGGGACUGCUCUUGGAACUGUGCGGCUGGAGUGCGGGAGGGGCAGGCGGAAUUGCUGGUGUAGCGGUGAAAUGCGUAGAUAUCAGGAGGAACACCGGCGGCGAAGGCGGCCUGCUGGACCGCGACUGACGUUGAGGCUCGAAAGCGUGGGGAGCGAACAGGAUUAGAUACCCCAGUAGUC
rnacentral:rRNA from 1 species